GCGGAGGAAAAGAAACCAACAGGGAUUGCCUCAGUAACGGCGAGUGAAGCGGCAAGAGCUCAAAUUUGAAAGCUGGCCCCUUCGGGGUCCGCGUUGUAAUUUGCAGAGGAUGCUUCGGGUGCAGCCCCCGUCUAAGUGCCCUGGAACGGGCCGUCAUAGAGGGUGAGAAUCCCGUCUGGGACGGGGUGUCUGCGUCCGUGUGAAGCUCCUUCGACGAGUCGAGUUGUUUGGGAAUGCAGCUCUAAAUGGGUGGUAAAUUUCAUCUAAAGCUAAAUACUGGCCGGAGACCGAUAGCGCACAAGUAGAGUGAUCGAAAGAUGAAAAGCACUUUGAAAAGAGAGUUAAACAGCACGUGAAAUUGUUGAAAGGGAAGCGUUUGCGACCAGACUCGCCCGCGGGGUUCAGCCGGCAUUCGUGCCGGUGUACUUCCCCGUGGGCGGGCCAGCGUCGGUUUGGGCGGCCGGUCAAAGGCCCUCGGAAUGUAUCACCUCUCGGGGUGUCUUAUAGCCGAGGGUGCAAUGCGGCCUGCCUGGACCGAGGAACGCGCUUCGGCUCGGACGCUGGCGUAAUGGUCGUAAAUGACCCGUCUUGAAACA
rnacentral:rRNA from 1 species